UACGGAGGGGACUAGCGUUGUUCGGAAUUACUGGGCGUAAAGCGCGUGUAGGCGGCUCGGAAAGUCGGAUGUGAAAGCCCUGGGCUUAACCUAGGAAGUGCAUUCGAAACUCCCGAGCUUGAGUUCUGGAGAGGAAGGCGGAAUUCUCGGUGUAGAGGUGAAAUUCGUAGAUAUCGAGAGGAACACCGGUGGCGAAGGCGGCCUUCUGGACAGUGACUGACGCUGAGACGCGAAAGCGUGGGGAGCAAACAGG
rnacentral:rRNA from 1 species